UGCCUGGUGGCCGUGGUCGUCGCCGACAGCUACAAGACGCCCAUCCCGAUCCUGAAAGACGACCGCACACAGAACGCCUACGGCGAGUACACGUUCGACUUCGAGACUGGAAACGGCAUCGUCAGGAACGAGGCCGGAAAGCAGGCUGAUGGCCAGGAGUCCUCGGGAGGAUGGAGCUACACCGCUCCCGAAGGCGUCCCCAUCAAGCUGAGCUUCACCUCCGGCGUGGGCGGUUACCAGCCCGUGGGCGAUCACCUUCCCGUGGCACCCACGUCAGUGCCUCUUCCCUACGAACGUCAGGAUUACUAAAUCUUUCGUGCUUUCUCUGUUCAUUCCAUAUUUUAUAAUCUCCUAAAUUCACGUCUCCUCACGAUACGAUUCUUGUAUUUAUUUUCUUGGUUAUUUAUGGAACGAAACUCGUUCAUGUCCUUAUCUCCAGUAAAGCCUCGACCAUGCAA